rnacentral:rRNA from 1 species
UACGGGAGGUGCAAGCGUUGUUCGGAAUUACUGGGCGUAAAGCGCGCGCAGGCGGCUCUUCAAGUCAGGGGUGAAAGCCCAGAGCUCAACUCUGGAACUGCCUUUGAGACUGUAGAGCUUGAGUACGGGAGAGGUGAGUGGAAUUCCCAGUGUAGAGGUGAAAUUCGUAGAUAUUGGGAAGAACACCGGUGGCGAAGGCGGCUCACUGGCCCGUUACUGACGCUCAGGCGCGACAGCGUGGGGAUCAAACAGG